rnacentral:tRNA from 1 species
GGGGUAUUAGUAAAACAAUUACAUAACCUUGUCAAGGUUAAAUUACAGGCGAAAAUCCUGUACAUCCCA